rnacentral:lncRNA from 1 species
AAGAAGCUUCUUCACUCCUGCACAGCAUGGCGGUGGAGGACUGGCAUUAUUAGGAGCUUGAAGAUAAGUAAGGCAUGGAGCCAAAUCACCGGAUACAGUUCCACAUGACAAAGCAGCUUCUGCCAUAAGCUUGAAGAUAAGUAAGGCAUGGAGCCAAAUCACCGGAUACAGUUCCACAUGACAAAGCAGCUUCUGCCAUAGGCGCAAUAACUACCAUGCACAUCACCAAAGCAACACAUGCUAAUUUCAUGCUUGUUGCCAUUUUUGUUUUCUUUGUUUUCUAUUCUUUUUCUUAGUUUGUUUGAAUGGUGUGUAAUGUCUUUGUGGGAGGGGGUUUAUAUAGAAAAUAAGAUAAGGUUUGAAGAUGAGUAGAUUGAUGAAUUUUUUGUGAAUGUGCAUAAAAAUUAGGUGGUAGUUGUGGUUUGAAUUAAUGACGUAUGGUCCAUUAUCUAUAAUUAUUGAGCAUUUGUCUCACUAUCUUUAAUUUAUUAUUUAAUGAUAUGGUACACAGUUAGAUUGGACGAUAAUUACUGUAGUUUCCGAAUUCAAUUUUCCACCCUCCUUCUUUCUCUUCUCUAUUUUAUCGGUGCUUUCUGCGCUUUGUAUGAUUUUUAACUUUCUUAUAUAGGAUUAUCUUAUUAAUACUACUAUUUUAAAAUUUAGUAUAUUUUUUUAAAAGCAAAUAUUAAAAGAGGGUGGGAUAUAUAGAAUGAAACUUGUUUCGCCAUAGUUUUGAAUGGUUUUAGUGUUAUGAUUCGAGAUUUUGAUCUUAGGGGUUUUAUUAGAAAGGACAUCGUCCCUCCUAAAGUACGUGUUUUGUCUAAUGCCUCUUUAGAAAAAAUGUUCAGAACAUGUAUGUGAAAUUUUACAUGACCAUAGGAUAGAAAGCAAUUUUGGAUUGUUUGAAAGCAGCACAUGUUCAAAAUUUCCUCCUUGCUAUUAUUAUUAAUGGUCAUGCCAACAUAUGACCCUGAUAGAAUAUCAUACAAUUCUUAAAUAUCGAUUUAUGAUUCCCUUAUUUCUUGUCGACAAAGUUUUCUCUGUUUUUCGUAAGGUGUGCUUGGAUAUAUUUGGGGUGUCAUUUGACAUACUUUGGCGUGCCACGGUACCUGUGAAGAAAGAGUCACAUGUGAAUUUUUGUACUGACCACGUGAGGGAUGAUCGACACUUAGGCCAACAAAUGUUUUAGUGUACGAGUGGAUAGGAGAGAAACAUGCAUAUGUAGACUUGAUUUCAGUUUUGACAAACAUUUUAAAAAUAAAUCGAACACGCUAGGUUAAAUUACACGAAACGUAGAUUAAUAAAAUUGAUGUUUGCAAGCUUGAUUUUGAAAAUUUUCGUCAACUAUUUUGACACACAUUUUACAAUUGAUUCAACCGAUUUUCCUGUAGAUACAAAAAUUUAUUUCGACUGACAUUCUAGACAUUAUGCGGUAUGAAAUACAUGUUAUGUUAUGCAGAGAUGCAACAAUUAUGAUGAAUGCAUUGAAUCGUUGAUUCACGGUCAAAAUCGGGAUGUGACAAGUUCUACCAGGGUUUCAUCAAGGGUUCCAUCUAAGGUUUUUAUCAAGGGUUCCACUAGGGUUUCAUCAAGGGCUCCAUCAAGGGUUCCAUCUAAGGUUUUUAUCGAGGGUUCCACCAAGGUUUCAUCAAGGCUCCAUCAAUGGUUUCAUCAAGGUUUUGUCAGGAGUUUUUAUCUAGGGUUCCACCAAGGUUUCAUUAAGGGCUCCAUCAAGGGUUUUAUCAAGAGUUUUUAUCAAGGGUUCCACCAGGAUUUCAUCAAGGGUUUCAUCACGGGUUUUAUCAAAGGUUCCACCAGGGUUUCAUCUAAAGGUUUCACCAAGGGUUUCAUCAAAGUUUGAUCAAAGGGUUUCAUCAGGGUUCCACAAAGGGUUUCAUCGGGGUCCCACCAGGGGUUAUGUUAGAAGUUUCGUUAGCAGCGAUCGGAGGAUCACUACAAUCCUACUUGAAUUUCGUAAAAAAUGAUCAGAGGAUCAUCGGAAUCAUACACAGGUUUCACCAAGAGGGGUUGAAACCUACCAAAGAUUCUGGUUCCAUCAUAGUGUUGCAUGGAUUCCCCCAAGGAAGUGGUUCAAAUAUUUGAGUUCCAUUAAGGAUAUUAUUCGGGAUCCAUUAGAUUGGUUAUGUGAGUUUCACAAGGGUUCCACCAAAAGUUGGUUUAGAUACCAACGAAGUACAAAAGGCAUCAAGUCUUUAUACAUCCCCAAAAAAUCUACUAACUCCAUGGACAAAAUUAGGGUCCCUCUCUAUAUUUAAUCGUCUUCCGUCAUGAGAGGAUGAAGACUCGCCAUCACCAUCAUCUCAAUUUAAAUUUGAUUAAAUAGGGACAGUUGUCUUACCCCAAAAUUUGUCUGCCCUUCAUAUGUUUUCUAACGCCACUUUAUUUCGAAUAAAUGAAAUGACACUGUUUUUUUACUGAGUCCCAACUUUAUUUUUAAAAAAGUUUGUUUUUUUAUUUUUAUUUUUUUAAAACCACUGAUGGAUUUUCUUUUCUAUUUCAUUAGUGCCUUUUAAUUUGAAAUUUAAAUUUUAUUUAUUUGAAUAUUAUAAUAUAUAUAUAUAUAUAUAUAUAUAUAUAUAUAUAUAUAUAUAUAUAUAUAUAUAUAUAUAUAUAUUAAUUAUAUAUAUAUAUAUAUUAGUAUAUAUAAAUCUUUUACUAAUAAUUUACAAAUUUUUGUAAAUAAUAUCCACUACUAUUUCGAUCACAGAACAUACUAGUAAUAUAUUGACAUGUGAUACUUCCCUAAUUAUUCUGCAUCUUGUAUGAUUUUCAAUAAAAAUAUACAAAGUGUUGUACCAUAGAAUAAAUCAAAAAACUUAAUAUAUGAAACUAUUAAUAUGAUAUUUAAUUAAGUUUUUAGGCAACACAUAAUUGCAUCAAUUAACUCUGGUUGAUAAAUUAUGACUAUUUAUUUACGUUUUAUAAAUUAUAUUAUAUAUCACAUAUAUUUGAAAAUAAUUCAUAUUUUACAUAAAAAAGAAAUCAAUUUAUUUUAAGUAAUUGUAUAUAUAAGUAUUUUAUCAAUUCAACUCUUAAAUUAAAAUUUUAAAUUGAUAACUUUUAUAAUUUCUUAUAAAAAUUCAAUGAAUAUUGAUUACACGUGCAUUUAAUCUUGUUUUCCAAUUUAGACAUUCUUGAAAAUAUUUUAGAAGUAAUAAUAUAAUAAUAAAAAAUCAUGCAAUACAUCUAUAAUUUUUUUUACAAUGUAUAACUUAAUUUUUUUUAACAAACAAUACAUAUAACAUAAACUUAUACUAGUAUUUAUUAUUACAUAGAUUAAAUGGCCCCACAUCCUUAAUUUUCUGGAUCUACCCCUAGAUCCUACAAACAAAAACCAUCCCACGUUACACUACACAACCAUUGCAUGUGAAAAAUAGUAAUGUAUGUUGGUACAAAGCAGAGAGAAAGAAUGGUAAAAGAUCUAGUCUCAUCUCAUUUUUAGUUAACAAUUAAUUUCUUUUUAUUUGAUUUAACUAUCAUUUAACUAUCAUUAUUUUUAUUUUUAUUUGACAUUUGAAGCAUAGGCUCAAACCUAAUAGUAUCAAUCUCUUCAUAUAUCAAAACUUUUUUAAUUCAUGAAUUGAAUAGUUCUUUUUUCUUUUCAACAAAUAUUUAAACUUCUUGGUGCUUUUGUUACGGAUUUGAUAAAGUGAUUUGGUCUUCAACGCCAUUGACUCAACGUCGCAGUCACUCUGUCGACACUUCCUCUCAAACUAGAAGGUUUUAGGUUUAUUUUUUUUCCUUUUAUCAUAUAAAUGUGUGAGUCUGUCUUUGGCCCAUGUGUAUGUCCAUUUAAUUGAUUUUGUUCUACAUGUUAAUUAAUUACAUUUACACGGUAUAUUAUAACUCUUAGAUUAAUUUUUGUGUCAUUCAGCAGAAAAGUAUAUUAAUGUAAUUUUGUUUGAUACUUGAAAAGAUUAAAAAAGAUAAUAUUAUAAAAACACCCAAAAUAUUAAUUUAGUUAAUUCUCUUUUAUUAACUCUUUUUUCAUUUUAUUAAUUUCGACCACUAAGAUUAUUAACAUAUAAAAGUAAUAAACUCAUAUCUUAUUUUACUUUACGUUAAAAACAAAAUAAAAGUCAAAAAUAUUUCUUUACAUAUUUAAAAUAUUUCUUCUCAUUUUUAAUUCUAAAAAUUUAAAAAGACAAAAAAAUAUAUUAUAUAUUUUAUAUCUUUGUUUUUUGUUUAAAAAUUAAUCUAUUAGGUCUAACUUAAUCUAGUUUAUUUUCUUCUAAAUUCAUUUUAAAAUAAAUUUAUUUCUUUAUAAUAAGAAUAGUAAAAAAAACAAUAAUAAUAAUAAUAAUAAUAAUAAUAAUAAUAAUAAUAAUAAUAAUAAUAAUAAUAAUAAUAAUAAUAAUAAUAAUAAUAAUAAUUAUCUAUGUAAAUAUGAAUUUAUUUUCUAAAUCAAAUUAAAACUAUAUUUUGCAAACUAACUUGAUUGUUUGGCGUCACACCUUAUCGAUAAAUAAUUCAACUAAAAACUUAAAAUCAAUUCAAACACAAUCAAAUGUUAUUUUCUCUGUCCUUGUGCAUUGAUAUUCGCUUUUUUAAACAAAAAUUUCUCCGCCCUGGUGCUUGAGAUAUUUUCACAACUAAAAUCAACAAACAUACAAUAUUUUCUAGACGGAUUUCAGUACUUUGAUCAUUCAUAUUGCUUGAGGGUACGUAGGCAUAGAGUUGUAACACUCUGGUGAAUACAAUAACAAAAACCUUUUCUCUGUCAUCUUUCCUGAUUAAAUUUUUCUUUUAUUAAAAUGAUAACCUAAUUCCCUGUAAAUAGGUAUAUUAAGCAAAAAUAGAUAACAUAAGAAAACACCCCAUAGAUAACACCUCCCCCUCACUAAAUCGACUCCCGAACCCUAAUGCACUAUCCUUACCUUUUAGGGUUUUCUCAUUAUUUCCCAUGUUCAUUAGGAACAAAUAAAAUAUGGUGGCAACUCGGUAAUUUUCCAGCCGCGACAACAAUAUUCCAUCUUAAAUAUCUUGAGUAUCUCACUUGUAUAUCUUCUUUGAUGCAUCACCAAAUCUCUACUACUCUUGUAGAAUUUGAUGCCAAGAAAGUAUGAAAUGUCUCCCAAAUCAAACAUUUCGAAUUCCUUGCUAAGGUCACCUUUGAAGUCUUCGAUCUCUUUCUUACAAUUACCAGUUCUUAAUAAGUCAUCGACAUAGAGAUAUAGUAUAAGCAAUUCACUCUUGCUUCUUCUUACAUGUAAUCCAUGUUUAGUUGUGCACUUCACAAAUUCGUCCUCCCUUAGAAAGCUAUAUAUCUUCUUAUUCCAAGCUCUUGGAGCUUGCUUAAGUCCAUACAGGGCUUUGUACAACCUGUAUACCUUGCUUUCUUCGACUUGUUUCACAAACCCAACUGGUUGUGCAACAUAAACUUCUUCAUCUAAGAGGGUCAUUUAAGAAUGCACAUUCACAUCCAUAUGACACAUAUGCCAGUUGUUCGUGUUUGCUAGACUAACAACCAACCUGAUUAUUUUGAUCCUAGUAACAGGUGCAAAAACUUUGUCGAUUCCUUCUUUUUGAAGAAAUCCUUUCGCCACAAGUAUUUCCUUGUGUCGAGUUACUUCUCCUUUAGGAUUCAACUUCACCUUGUAUACCCACUUCUCAUUGAUUGCCUUCUUGUCUUUAGGCAAUUCGACAAGUGACCAAGUGUUGUUGACUUCAGUGGACUUCAGUUCCUCAUUCAUUUCUUUCAUCCACUUCGAAUCCUUCAAUACCUCGACUGCAUUGACUAGUUCAUCAUAUGCAUAGAAAGCAUAGUGUACCAGCUCACCUUUAUCAUCAACCACAUCAUCUAAUGUAAUCACACAUUCUUUCAACCUUACAGGCAUAUGUCUUGUUCUUUGAGGUCUGUUUGUGCUUGUUUGACCUCUGACUUCUUCUUGUCGAACUUCUCUUUCGAAUUCACUUGUUGGGUAUUCACAUAGGAUUCAUACUGAAUCCUUCUUGACAUUUUCAGUCCAAUCACAUUCCUUAAGCUCAUCUAUGAUCACAUCCUUGUUGAUCAAUAAUUGCUUGUUCAUCAAUAUUGUUUCAGAAUUCUCCAUAGGUUUGGUGUAUUUCCACAUUCAGGAAUUUCGUCUUAAUCCCAACAUCUGGUAUCUAAGCACUAGCUGUGUGAUUCUUGGGAAGCAUAAUGCUCUGAUUGAUUACACCUUUUGUUCUCCACUCUUCACUUGAGUGAAUCAACCAACCUUGAUUUCAAGAUGAUUUUGUUGCACGAUGACUAUUGAAGAAGAAAAAAAAGAUGAAUUGAGGAAGAAAGGAGAAUUUAGGGUUUGAGAGAAAAGGGGAAGAAGAAGAAGAAUUCUGCAGAGUUUUUCUUUCUGCUUUCAAACUGAAAUUUUAUUCAACUUUUUUCUAUGCAACUGCAUUACAAACAACGAUAAGUACCUCCUUAUUUAUAGGUUGAUAUUGCUUCCACACCAACCAAUCACCAACUAACCUAACUAACUAAACUAAAACAAACAAAUAAAAUUAAGUCAAAAUUAUGUCGAGAUACACUUUAAUAUUUCGACAACUCCUUUCGAACAACAUGCUUCAAUAUAAGAAAUUACAUUUUCAAAUAUAUAUAUAUAUAUAUAUAUAUUAUAUAUAUAUAUUAUAGAUUUUUUUUUUUUUUUUUAAAAUGAAAGUUAUUGUCGACCAAGACUUUCCUCAUUUUAAAGGCAUUUAUUAUUAAUCAAGUGAGUGCCUCUAUCAAAUUUUCAUUUAUAUAUAAAUUUUUGCUUUUAAUCAAUAUCCAUUAAAUAAAUGGUUGUUAUCCUUUAAACAUGACACGAUAUAUACUCUCAAGAGAGGUAAACACCACUUAACUUUUUUCAUUAAUGAACCAUGGAUAAAAUUAAUACGACCUUUAGUAUUUUAAAUUGACAUUAUCAAAACAAUAAAAUGACGAGAAAAUUAGAAAGAAAAAACAAAUUGAUCUUUAGAAUUGACUUAUCUAACACUGCAUCGAUGAUAAUAAAAACAGGCAGCAUUAUGUCGACAGGGACGGUUGCCGACCAUACUGUGUGUCAGCAAAGUUGAUAAAUUUCACCAUAGGUGUUCCUUAAUCACGGCACCGAAUUCAUACCCCACGAUGUUGUGGUACCCAUUGAAAUUCAAACUGUUGCUAUUUUGCAGACUGCAAUACAUUUUUUGUUUGGCAAUAAAGUUAGUCAGCCAUGGAUCCAUAAAUAAUUGAUUGGAGCUUAGUUAACUGUUUAAAUAUUCAUACAAAAAAUAUUUUUAUUUAAAAAAAUUUAAAAAUAACAAAAAUUGAACACACUUGCUUCUAAGUUUAAUCUCUCUAAUUUAUUCACUUGAGAAUAGAUUAGACUAGAGAAUCAAAUUUAGAAUAUUUUGUAAUCAAUUGUGUAAAUGUUCAUGUUGUUAUAAAUAUAAUAAAUACAAUGAGGAAAGGCAUCCCGCCAGAAUUUGUGACAUCCAUGUCACCUUUAUCAAAGAGGAAAUGAGACACCAUAAAAUCUUUAUGAUAACUCUCAAAGGAUCCGUCAUGGAAUAAAUCAUUAGAAUACAACACCAUAAAAUCUUGGAGGAAAUUAUGUGAAGAUUUCAUAAUACAAUUCAUAACACAUUGGAGAAAGUUGAAGAGAGUAGUGUUCCUUAGUGGGAUCCAUUAGAAGAAGAAUGAUACCUCAAAUACAUGUAAUAAUUGUGAGGUCAUAGUAAUUUCACGUGUAAAAGCAUGUAUAAUUGUAAGGAUAGGGUGAUUUCAAUGUGAAAUAUGAUUUUCCACAAUAUCUUGAAUUCCAUUAUAACUCACUCUAAUUCAUGCAAUAUUAGUCAUAAAAAUGGUUUAAAUGCUUUAUAAGUAUCUUGGAAAAAGUAGUAUCAUAGGGUGUCACCAGACACAGACACUUAUUUUAAUGUUUCGUCUAUUUCUUAUCUUCAAUUUCAAGCAUUUUAGUAAGUUUAGAAGGACCAUUUAUUUAGCGUUAAAUGUGAACAAAGGAUCCACUGUCAUUAAGUGGGUUCCCGAUUUAUAUGAAGGGAUAUGUAAGUCAUGGUAACUCGAGAACCACUUAUGAAACUAAUCUAUAUCCAAACUUAUCAAAAUAGAAAAAUCUUGAUCACCACAACUUAAUCAUAACAUCUUGAUCUUCAAGUACCAACAUUUGGUAAACAAGUUUUGAUCUUCAAGCACCAUCACUUGAUCCACAAUAUGUCAGUUACCACCACUUGAUCAACAACUAUCAAGAAUCAUCACUUGAUCAACCACAUAUCAAUCACAAGAUCCACAUAUAAAGCACCAUCAAUUGAACAAUAAGAUGUCAAGCAUCAUCAUUUGAUCAACAUAUCAAGUGUCAUCACUUGAUUAAUCUUCAAGCACAAUCACAUGAACCAACUUAGACUUGAACAAGACUGAUGAAGAAUUCUCUUAAGAGUCUUGUCAACAUCAAAACCAAAAUAAUACAUUGUUAGAGUCUUCAUACCUGUAAACACAUAGAUCCACAUUAUCCUUUUUUUUUGAUGAAAAAUAAUCUCUUAAGGAGUUGGAAUAACAAAGAAAAAAUGUUAUAAAACUUGGAGUGAUUAAACUCCCCCUACAAACAUAGAGAGUAUACCCUACUUCCCCUGAGAGUAUACUUUUGCCCCCUUGGCGUUAUCAAAAAUUUGGGGAAAAUUAAGCAGAUAGACUUGUAUAUGAAUUAUUCAAGCACAUAUAUCAUAAGAGAUGUGCAUAGACAUUUAAUGGAAAACAUACUUCAUCAAUUGAAAUGACGGAAUUCAAAUACAGAAAGGGAAAUAACAAGGAAUUUAAAAGACUAUGAAAAGAAGGAAAAACAUAGGUGAGAUAACUAUUUGUUGUCAUUAAUAUCAUCAUCUAUGAUUAUGUAUUUUUUGUUGUUGAGUUCCUCUUGAUGAUAACCAUGUCCUUUAUUAAUUUUUGAAUAGCCAUAGUGUUUUUCUGAGAUAUUUUCAGAAGGUGUUAAUGAUUGAAUCAUUUGUUGUAUCUAGAUGGAUACUUCAUUUAUGGAUUUGUUCCAUAAUUCUCCUUGAAAGAUAUGAACCCUCAUACUACUGAGGGAUGAGUAGUUAAUACUAUAGUGAUUGAAUCCAUAAAUUCCCCUUGUGUUGACUCUUAGAGUAUCUAUAAUAUUGGUGAUCAAGGCUCUAUAUCGUGACCCUGUUGAUCGAGACUGCUUGUAGGAGGUCAUAUGGAGAAGCAUCUCGUUGAUCCAAUUUGUUUGAAACUGUUGGGUAAGCAGCCACAAAGGGACCAUAUAUUCUCGAAUGAUGACUUCAAGAUUAUCUUGUAUAGGGAAGAGUAUAUGUGUGAUAAAAUAAUGUUGGGUGAGAAUAUGGAGCAUAGAAAUGGUGUAUAUGGGGGGAGGGGGUUGAAUACACCCUUUUGAAAAAUUUAACCAAUUUUUGAAAUGAAAAAUCAGAGUUUUUGAUGUGGAAGUCUUAUAACAAAAAAAGAUAGACUUUAUGCUUAAAUUGGAAAUUAACCACGUAUACAAUUACCUAAUUAACAAAUAUCUUUGAUUGAUUAGAGAUAAUAUCUAAAGAGUUACAUGCUACGAUGAAUUGUCACUUUGUUAAUUACACAAGAUAUGUUCUUUACAAUAUCCAAUUUCUAUGAAAGUUUAACACAACAGUUUGUAGAAUUUAAUCAGAACUAAAACACAAAUAGAUUUUGAUUCUAACAAAACCUAAAUUUAUAUAAUAAAUAACUACCAACAGGUAUUAACAAUAAAUUACACUAAGAAAGGUUAACCUAAACAUGCAAUAGCCUACGAAAAAUUAAAAUGAGAGAGAGAAAGAGAGUGUGAACACUAGGAUGUAUAGUGGUUCAGAUCUAUCUUCCUGCAUGAGCCUAAUCCACUCUCCAAUUGUUUCUCAUUAAAAAAAUUUCUUCAACUAUGUUUUGAAAAAAAUUACCUGAGUUCAUACAAUCAUUAAUCCAUAAUAAUGCUGAGAAAAUAAAUCUUUUAUCUGGAUCUUAACUUGUACACUGCCUUUAUACUGAACUCUUUGUGAAAUCUUUACUCGGUUAUUGCUUCUUUAAUCUUCCAGAUUCACCAAUAUUCUCCAAGUCUCCGUGUAUGGUAAUCGCCCAUGAUCUCACUAAUUUCUUGAGCAAUGAAUUGUCUGAAGAUUGAGAAGAACCGCUACCUUGUAUGUAGGCUUCCUUAUAACUCUGCCAAGAGAUUUUGAGUUUUCAAAGAUAUGGAAGUUGUUGUUGUUAUGUUCUUGGUUAUUAUAAAUUGAGAUGACAAAAUAAUUUAUAUGUGCUAGAGAUUACGCACAAAAGUAUGUGAAAAAUGGUUCUUAGAUUCGAGUCAAGAACAUUUGUUGAUUUGAGUCAAGUGAGCAAGUAAAGUGGAACAAGAUUAACAUAACAAAAGUGACUUAUUUCCUGUGAUUCGAGUCAAAUUAUAUGUAUGAUUCUAGUUAUACAAGCUCAUAAUUUGAGUCAAGUAGAAACCCUGAUUCGAAUCAAUUUGAACUGAGCCGAAUAGUAAAAUGUGAAAAAACUAUGUGAUUCAAGUCAUUUGUAAAGUGUGAUUCAAAUCAAACUGGGAAGUGGCAAAUAGGAUUUGUAUGAUUCAAUCAUGUGCAACUUGUGAUUUGAGUCACAGUGUUGUAUAAUUUUGAAUCAAGUUAAAAUUGUGAUUUGAGUCACAGAUGCAAAAGUCUCCGGCUUCCAUUCCCUGCACAUAGACCUUAAUAUUUUCUUAGCACAAUCUCUGCCAAAAACGGACUUUCCUAAAUUGUUGAUUUUGUUGAUUAAGUGGAAGAACCUAGUCUUCAUGGAUUCCACGAAUUCUCCGGGAUCCACACGAAAUAGUUCGAACUCAUCUGUUACCAUGUUGAUCUUAGAAUCCUUGACGUCAUUUGUUCCAUUGUAAAGGGUUUGAAUAUCGUCCCACAUAGAUUUUGCGCUCUUAUGAUGUAAAAUAGAGUAUAAUACUUUCACACUUAAAAUUGAGAUAAGUAUGUUACUCGCUUUCAAAUCAUAUGAAGCCUUUUUGGUUUCAUCAUCUAUCUAAUCCUUUGGGUGUUUAACAUCUACCCGUAGAUUUUUAUAAAUUGAUAAUAAAUGUACAUACAUAUUUUCUUUCCAAUAAUGAUAAUUAUCGGCAUCUUCACCCAUAUUCCCAAAAUUUUGAGUCACUUAGACCUGAUCAAAAUACCAACUUUGAUACUAAUUAUUGGGUGAGAAUAUGGAGUAGAAAAUGGUAUAUAAUGGGUGAAUAGACCCUUUUGAAAAAUUUGACCGAUUUUCAAAAUGAAAAAUCGAAGUUUUUGAUGCGGAAGUCUUAUAGAAAAAAUAGAGACUUUAUGCUUGAAUUGGAAAUUAAUCACUAAUAUAAUUACACAAUUAAUAAAUAUCUCAGAUUGAUAAGAGAUAAUAUCCAAAGAGUUACCACCUGUGAUGUAUUGUCACUUUGUAAAUUACACGAGAUGUGUUCUUUACAAAAUACAAUUUCUAUGAGAUUCUAACACCACAGUUUGCAAAAUUUAAUUAGCACUAAAACACAAAUGAGUUCUGAUUCUAAAAAAAACUAAACUUGUGUAAUAAAUUGCUACCAACAGUAAUUAACAAUAAACUACACUAAGAAACGAUUACCUAAACAUGCUAUAUCCUACAAAAUUAAAAUAAGAGAGAGAGAGAGAGAGAGAGAGAGAGAGAGAGAGAGAGAGAAAGAGAGAGAGAGAGAGAGAGAGAGAGAGAGUACGCCCGAAUGUAUAAUGGUGCGGGUCUAUCGUCAUCAUAGAAGCCUAAUCCAUUCUCCAAUGGUUUCCCAUUGAAAGUUGUCAUUCCACUAUGUUUUGACAAAAAUUGCACGAGUUUAUACAAUCAUUAAUCCAGAAUAAUGAUGAGAAAACAAAUCUUCUAUCUGGAUCUUGACUUUUACAUAGCAUUUAGGAUGAACUUUCUGUGAAAUCUUUACUCGAUUCUCGCGUCUUGAAUCUUCCAACUUCACUAAUCUUCUCCAACUUUUCGCGUGUGGCAAUCACCUCUGAUCCCACCGAUUUCUUCACGAAGAUUGAGAAGAACGCAUACCUUGUCUGUAGGCUUCCAUACAACUCUACAAAGGUCAUCAUAGAGAGAAGAACCUUUUUUUUUCACCAGAUUUUGUCACCACAAGUCACAACAAUCCCAAUGAUAAAGUUUUUACUGGUUUGUCAACAAAUGUGAAAGAGGGGGAGGAUAAGUAUCUUUAUGGCCAGUAGUUGGUUUCUUAUAAUUAACAUCCCCUUGGACCUCUUUCUCCUUCAAAUAUUGACUUUAGAACCUUAUCAUGUGUAUGAAUCAAUAGUGAAUCAAGUUUUUAACGUAACCCCCAAAGGCGUAGUGGUUUUUUAGUGUUUCUUUCAUCCAUCAUUGGUGGAUUUGGUGUUUGAGUUCUAACUUGGUUCAUAUUUGUUGGUUACUUGUUGUAUUAGUAGCACUACUACAAAAUAGACGUUUGGUAACACCCAUUUUACAACGGUUUUCCUAUUAACCGUGGUAAUAAUUUUUUGGGGCGUUUUUUUUUUGUGUAUUUACUAAAAGAUAUUUCACAACGGUCAUUGAUACCAACUGUGGUUAAAAGUGGCGUCUGAUCAUGAGUUUGAAUCUCAGCACCUACAAUUUUGUUUUUAUUUAUUUUUAAGCCACUUUUCACCACCGUUGGAACUUUCAACUGUCGUGAAAAGUGGAUCCUGGUCAUGAGUUCGAAUCCUAGCACAUACAGUUUUAUUUUUAUUUAUUUAUUAAAAGACAUACAACAACGGUUGAUUAAAGUAACUGUUGUGAUAUGUUAAGACAUAUAACAAUGGUUGUUUAAAGUAAUUUUUCUGAUAGGUACAAUUUUUUUUUUAAUAUUUAUUAAAGUAAGCAUGUUUAUUGAGUUUCUUCGCCAUUCUUAAAUAAAUCUUUGUCGGCCAUUUAGUGAGUAUCAAUGCCCAAGACACUACCAUUGGUGAUCCGCAUGAAACCUAAAACUUAGAUGAACUUUCAACUUAGAAGAACUUCAUCUUCUACCUCCAAACAUCUUCUUCCAUUUAUGACUCUCUAUUUCUCCACUAAAUUAAACUCGAAGACAUUCUUUCUUCCAUAAGCAAAACUCAAAAACAUCAUUUCUUUCAUUAACAAAUUCCAGAACUCCAUCACCUCUUCUCCCACUUGAAUGAGACAAGGAAAACAUGGAUUCUAGUUAGCAAUGUUAGUGUUUUUGUUAUUUUGUUGUUGUUGUUGUUGUUGUUCUAUUGCUGCAUUUUUAUUUUAUUUUAUUAAAAGUCAUACAACAACGGUUGUUUAAAGUAACCAUUGUAAUAAAGUGAGACAUACAACAAAGGUUGUUUAAAGUAACCGUUGUGGUAAGUAGCGUGGUGAAAAAUGUCAUACAUACAAUCAUACCAUACCUCACAACGGUUGAUCCAAAGUGGUAGUAUCCAUUUUCCGACUGUUGUGAUAGAUAUUUUUCGUAGUAGUGUAACUAUUCGAUUUUCCUUUUCUUUCUGCUUAUUUUUGUUCUUGGUGAUUGAUUGUAUUAGCUCCAUCAUUUUAUCUUUUAGUUUUUUUUGUCUGUUUUUUUUUCUUUGGAGGUUUUUCUCUUCGUUAUUAAUAUAGUAAUUGAUAAAAAAAAUGUUAGUAAUAUUUUCCGUUACCACGUUUAAACAAUCCAACUUAUUAGUAAAACCCAUUUUGUUGUAGAUAAGUUUAUGCAACUUUAUCCAUAAUAAAUGUAAGUUAAAUAUGAACUUAAUUGUAUAAACUCAAAUCUCCUUAGACUUACGAAAUGACAUUAAUAUCAAACAAACUUGCUUUUAACUUUGUUUUUAAUUGUGAUACAUUGCAUUUUUUUAAGGGUAUUUUAGAUUUUUCUUUCACACUAUUAAAUUAAUAAAAUCACAACUUUUGUUGCAUUAAAUAUAUUUAAUAAUAUCGUUAUGAAAAAGACAUAUCAAAUUAACUUUUCUAGCCUCUUAUCUUGAUUUUUCAUUUGUGAUACAAUGAUUUUUUAAAGAUGUUUUACUAUUUUACAAUAUUAUAUUGAUAAUAUCAUAAGUUUUUUUUUGCAUUAAAUCAAUUUAAUAAUAGCAUUUAUAUAUUAAUUUAAUCAUUAAUUAUUAUAUAUGUUAUAAAAGAAAAAUUAUCUUUGAACCACAACUAAGAUUUAGAUUAAAUUAAUAUUUUAAUAACUAUUGUAUAAAAAACAAUAAUCAUAAUAUACUUUAAUUAUACUUUUAACGUUAAUAUGUAUACACGGGACAAAUGUUUGUUUGGCAUUGAUCAAUAAAUUAAAUUAAUAAAAUUAAAAAAUAAUUAUAACAUAAUUUACUAAAAUAAAUUGAUUCAACAGUCCUUGUCCUUAAAAUGUUGGAGUUUCAUAUCUUUUAAAAUUUUCAAACUUAAAAUUAUAAUAUAUAAAAUAUCAACGUGACAUUUAAAAUAAUUCAAAAUAAAAAUAAUAAAAUCAUAUCAGUAUUUUUGGAAUUAAAACAAAUAAAUAAUUGUUGAGUUAGCGAGCCACACAAAUCCUUUUGUCCAAUCAAAUUCCAAAAUAUUUAAAUGAUCUAAAUCUUUAUAUUGCAAGAUUGUUUUUGCAAAAAAUAGUUUUACAGGGGCAUAAAUUAAAAUUCGCCUAUGGCACGGGGAAAUGAUAUUAACCAUUUAUAAAAUUAUUCAUUAAAAUUAAUCUCUUUUAAAUAUUUUUAAAACAAAUGAGAAUAUUUAUAAUAUAAUAAUUAUAAUUUUUCAUACUUUUAACAUUUUUUAUUAUUUCAUUUAAAAAUUAAUAACUAAAAAUAUUCGUUGACACAUCCCGUUCAUACACGAUUUAGUCCAUAUUUGAUUUUGAUAAAAUUUUGAAUAAUUAAUUUUUCUUAAAAGUGAAUUGAAUGUUUUAUAUUUUGAUACAUAGUUGAAUUAUAAGAAUUAAAAAUCAUGUUAAGACUCGAAAUCUACCAAUGAUUGUGUCUUCGAAUUAUGAUAAAUUAUUCAGGGAAAAAUAAUUCUACCAGAAGGCAAAUAAACAUACUAAAAUUGAUUAUAAAAUGGUAAAUCAAACAAAGAAUUAUUAUUUUUAUAUCUUAAAGAGAAAAUUGAUUCUAAAAUACUAAUUUAAGUUUAUUAUGAAAAUUAUAUAAGAAAUAAAUAUUAUUGAUUGAAGAGUUAGUUAAAAUUAUAAUUAUUUUUAAUAUUAUUCAAUAAAAAAUAUGAACAAUUACAAUGCAAUUCCUACAAUUGUGUUGCAUAUUUUAAUUUUAUUCAAGUUGUUUAUCAAGAAACAAGACACUUAAAAAGGUAUUCUAGCAUACAAUUCUUACAAAAAUAAAUGUUUUUCCCUAAUAAAAUAAUUAAAUUUAAUAUUUUCAAUAGCUUGUAGAUAAAAAUAAGAUUAUUUAUAAUAAAAUAUUAAUUAAAGUGAAAUAUAAAUCAUUGAUUUUUAUUAUAAAAAAAAGGACAAAUAGUCGUAACAAAUACAUAAAAAAUACAAGAUAGAAAUAUUUGUAACAGGUAAAUAUAAAAAAAAAUAUAAAAUACACAUUUGUCAUUGUUACAUAGCAAAAUAAUACGCAAAUAUUUUUUAUUUUAUUAAUGCGAAAUAAAAACAAAAAAUUAAAUUCAAAUUCAAAAAAACAGUCUCCUCCAAUAUGUAGAUUUUGAUAGUGGUUUUGCAACAUGACUCCUCCAUAGCAGGAGUUGUAGAGACUCUCAGCACCACCUCUCACUCUAUUGAGGUUGUUGUGCACCUAGAUCAUCGUCGAUGGUCUUUGCCGUCCUUGGUGAUUUCCAUUGAUUUGUAUCUUAACCCCUUAGGAUCCGUUGUCUGUUGUCCACUAUUCAGAAGGAACUCCGUGCCAGAAUGGAUAAACAAGACACUGUCAACGACAACAUUCAGAACAUGCUAGCUCAAUUGCUUCAGAGAAUGCCUCCGCCUCCCAACCCCUAGGCACUUAGGAUUUUGUUUUUAGCCUGUUGUUUUGGCUUGUUCUGAUGACUUGUUCUUUUUGUCCUUGUCUCUGUUGCUUUUACUGAAUACAAUGUUUUUUUCUUGAAUUAUUCUUUUCUGCUAUGUCUUUUGAUUCUGACAAAAAGGGGAGAAGUCAUUAAAUGCUCUGACGAAAUUCUGUUCUAAAUACUUAGCACUUGCAACUAUUUUCUUAAAAUAAAUUUAUCUACACUAGACUUAAGAAAUUGCAGAGGGGCAACAUUAGCUGGGUGGUAAGUUUGGUAUCAAGACCUCAUUCCGCUUGGAAGCUUGGUAAAACUUUUGACUCCCGUAGCCUAUUCUCAGGGGAGGUCUUGUCUAUCUGAUCUGAUAUUGUUUAUGUUUCAUCUGCUAAUUAAGUUUGUUUUGUCAUUUUCAGAAGGGGGGAUUGUAGAACAAAUUGGUGAUCGGUACAGCAGAUUCGGCUCUNNNNNNNNNNNNNNNNNNNNNNNNNNNNNNNNNNNNNNNNNNNNNNNNNNNNNNNNNNNNNNNNNNNNNNNNNNNNNNNNNNNNNNNNNNNNNNNNNNNNNNNNNNNNNNNNNNNNNNNNNNNNNNNNNNNNNNNNNNNNNNNNNNNNNNNNNNNNNNNNNNNNNNNNNNNNNNNNNNNNNNNNNNNNNNNNNNNNNNNNNNNNNNNNNNNNNNNNNNNNNNNNNNNNNNNNNNNNUGCUAUGUCUUUUUGAUUCUGACAAAAAGGGGGAGAAGUCAUUAAUAGCUCUGAUGAAAAUACUGUCUAAAUACCUUAAGCACUCUGCAACAUAUUUUUCUUAAAAAUAAAUUUAUCUAACACUAGACUUAAGAAAUUGCAGAAGGUAUCAAGAAACCUCAUUGCUUGGAAGCUCUGGUAAGAACUUCUGAACUCCCUAGCCUAUCUCAGGGGGAGCUCUUGUCUAUCUGAUCUGAUAUUGUUUAUGUUUCAUCUGCUAAUUAAGUUUGUUUUGUCAUCAUCAAAAAGGGGGAGAUUGUAAGAACAAAAAUUGUUCUACAACAGAUUCCAUGAUUUUGAUGAUAACAAAGGAUGAAACCAAAAAUGGCACCCUAACGAAAAGUUUCUAAGUGUGCAGGAUUCUAAGGAAAGAAGGAAGAGAUCUGAUGACGUCAUCAGAUACAGAAUCAUAUCAGAUACAAAUUAUCAGAAGACCAAAAGCAUCUGAAGUAUAAACACGCUCAAGAAAGUCUAACUCUGAGCAAAAACAACAAAAUAUCAGAAGCAUCUGAACAAGAAGUACGCUCUAGAAGUUCUGACUCUGAACAACGGUAUGUCAAACUCCAGAAGCUAUCAGCGCUAUCUGAAGAAACCAUCAGAACUUAAAAGAGAUCAACAUCAGAAGUUAGAUAGCAAGAUUCCAAGAUUCCCAGAAACACGAAGACUCAGAUCUUGGAUUUC